CUUAGCCAUGAGACAGACACAAUUUCAUGGAAGCUUACCACCUCCCAGAAGUUCACGGUUAAGUCUCUAUAUGAUAAGUUGAUUGAGGGGACCGCGCUAGACAUGGCUAGGGGGCUAUGGAAGGCCGACAUUCCACUAAAGAUCAAAACUUUUAUGUGGAAAUUGUUUCGCAACCGUCUCCCAACCUCGGAUAACGUGGCCAAACGAAACGGGCUGAUGGACGGAACAUGUGCCAUUUGCGGCUUAGGGGAAAAUGCAAACCACCUGUUCUUCGGUUGUUUUCUUGCUAGAUUUGCGUGA
rnacentral:rRNA from 1 species